GCUUUUGUGGUGUAAUGGUAGCACAUUCGGCGCGUGUUCGAAAGAUCCAGGUUCGAGUCCCGGCGAGGUCA
rnacentral:tRNA from 1 species